rnacentral:rRNA from 1 species
CCUACGGGAGGCAGCAGUGGGGAAUAUUGCACAAUGGGGGAAACCCUGAUGCAGCGACGCCGCGUGAGUGAAGAAGUAAUUCGUUAUGUAAAGCUCUAUCAGCAGGAAAGAAAAUGACGGUACCUGAGUAAGAAGCCCCGGCUAACUACGUGCCAGCAGCCGCGGUAAUACGUAGGGGGCAAGCGUUAUCCGGAUUUACUGGGUGUAAAGGGAGCGUAGACGGCGAUGCAAGUCUGAAGUGAAAGGCGGGGGCCCAACCUCCGGACUGCUUUGGAAACUGUAUGGCUGGAGUGCAGGAGAGGUAAGUGGAAUGCCUGGUGUAGCGGUGAAAUGCGUAGAUAUUAGGAGGAACACCAGUGGCGAAGGCGGCUUACUGGACUGUAACUGACGUUGAGGCUCGAAAGCGUGGGGAGCAAACAGGAUUAGAUACCCGUGUAGUC